rnacentral:tRNA from 1 species
GUUAAGUUGGCAGAGGAAAUGUGAUUGAGUUAGGUUCAAUAGAUGAAAAUAAUUUUCACUUAACU